rnacentral:rRNA from 1 species
AUUGAACGCUGGCGGCAGGCCUAACACAUGCAAGUCGAGCGGAGCGGCGGACGGGAGAGUAAUGCCUAGGAAUCUGCCUGGUAGCGGGGGAUAAGGUCCGGAAACGGGCGCUAAUACCGCAUACUAUCAGAUGAGCCUAGGUCGGAUUAGCAAGUUGGUGGGGUAAAGGCCUACCCAGGCGACGACCCGUAACUGGUCUGAGAGGAUGUUCAGUCACACUUGAACGUGGACACGGUCCAGACCCCUACGGGAGGCAGCAGUGGUGAAUAUUGGACAAUGGGCGAAAGCCUGAUCCAGCCAUGCCGCGUGUGUUAAGAAGGUCUUCGGAUUGUAAAGCACUUUCAGUUGGGAGGCGUUACCGACAGAAUAAGCACCGGCUAACUUCGUGCCAGCAGCCGCGGUAAUUC